AAAAUUUUGGAGAUCCUGCCUCUUUUGUCAGCAGUCUUCGAGGAAGAAUCUUACAGUUUUAUUAUAAAACAUUGAGUUGUGAUUUUGUGUAAUUUUCGUUUCGCGUGGAUAUGAAUGUGGUUCCUGCCCAUUUGAGUAUGAUCUAUGAUUAUUCUGGCAAACAUUUGGAAUCGUGAAAAUGGUUACGUUUAUCUCAAAUUACGCCUCACCGUCGUUUACAACGAGAGUCUGAACUUUUGUACUAAAAUUUACAAUACAUUUUAUUUUCUCUUGGAAAACUGAACAAUUUCUUCAUUUUUUAAUGGCUUCAAUUGUAGAAUUCUGAACUUUCAUGCAAAUCGAAUGGAAGAAUUCUCUGGAGAGAAUAAAGAUUUCCUAAUAAAAAACCAGCAAUUAUAAUGACACACUUUAUCAGAAGGAUGACAACUCGAAUAAACAGUCCUAGGAUGUUUAAAAAAAACUAGAUUUGGGAAUGUCUCUCUUUAAAGUAACCUAAGAAAAUAUUAUAUUAGCCGUUCUUAAGUGAAUCCACUUUUUAUAUUUACCUAAUCAGGAAUGGAUCGUCGAUCCGACGUCGUCACCGUCAUACCAUCGUCGAGUUGAACUCAUCGUCGAAUUUAAAGUCGCUUUCGAACAAAAUUAUUAUGCUCUAAAAAUACUUUAUUUAUUGUAAUUUAAGUGAAUCCUGCUCAAUAUUUUCCGAAUUUGCAAGAUAUGAAAAUCGAUGUCGAAAUGACAUCGAAGCGACGUCAUUUCGACUUAUAAAAUAUGUCAGAGUCAAAAAGAUGUGGAAAAUCAUUUUUACAUAUAGAAUAAUGAUUAUCAAUAUUUGAAUAAUUUUAAGUUUGAAGGAUGAAUUCCAU